rnacentral:lncRNA from 10 species
AGAGAUCAAUUGAACUCCAAGGUUGGAGGAGGGGAGAUAUGCAAUGUAACUGCUUAUGAAACUGAAAAUCCAGGAACAGCAGAGGCCGCAGCCACGGGCUGAUCUGGAGGCAGUGUGUUCAUCAAAGAGGCACCUUUGUCUUGGAGGUUUGCUCAGCCCUGCCUUCCUUGGGCCCCAACCUCUCCACAGAUGAUUCCCUCCUGGGAGCAGGAUGGCUUCCAGGGCUCUGAGGGCCACGGCUUCCGCAGCCUCAUCCAGAACUUCCCCCAAAUAGAAAACAAAGUCUCUUCUCCUCCAACCCUUCUGACUGGAUACUUACAAUAUGCGAUGCAUCUGUUGGCUUACGCCUGUGUUUCCAACACUUCUCUAACCUGUGUCUAGGAUGAUGGCAUCACACUCAGGAACGAAUCCCCCUGGCCACCCUGGAGUUGAGGGUGGGACCAAGGUGGCCAACAUUGCCCAGCUGAGAAUUGCAGGAUCGUGUAAAGCAAGAGGAAUGGAGAUGGGAUGCUGCGGAGAAAUCAGCAUGUCCACCACAAUGGAUCCGGAAAAUCUGUGAGGUUCUGUCUUGAAUGACUCAAGUUUGUGAAAUAUUUCAUGGAAACAUGCCCCCACCCCUUCCAAGUCUAGACCUAGGCUGUUCUAACUUUCAGCGUUCUUGUAGAGAUGGCUGGCAGUGUGCUACUUGCUAUUGCAAUUUUGUUGCUCCGUGCUUGUUGUUGUGUUUUGUUUCUAAGAAAUGGGGGUUUGCUUGGACCAGAGGCCUUGUGUGUUCUUUGUCACAUGGUGGAUCUGGGCCAGCCUGGGCUGCCAGAGUAUUCCCUGGGCUGGGCUCCUUGUUGGCAUCUUACAUGUGGCUACCUGGAUCUCACCUGGACUCCAAAGCACGGGGUGCCAGGCAACCCUCGGUGCUGGCGACUGAGCUGAGGCCCCCAGCAUGGCAUAGAGCCAUUCUGGUGAGGAACAUUGGAUCCUGUGUCUAAAUCUCUACCUCCAGCCUUUAGCAAAUCUCCUUCAACAUUACAGCCCAGGCUAGGUAGUGCUCGGAGAAUUAGGAAGGCUUUUUUUCCACCUCCACCUCUAAGCCCAGGGAAGAGCAGAUUCCACUUCUUGGGCGCAGACUAGGAAGCUUUCGUGCAGUAGGACAGCUGUGUUGGAGGCUCCACUGCCUCAUAAAUGGUCUUUGACAACAGAGCAGCAAAGACGUGGCUUCUGCAGGGGAGCACACGAGUGCCUGUUUGGUUAAGCUUCUCCCUUAAGAUGGAGGAGCUCUUCCUUGUCUGUGUGUUCUCUUUCCACUGGCCACGCCCAUCCCCUAUGAAUGUAAUUCAGUGAGAAUAGGCCCCUCUUCAUCUUACUCACUGACGAAUCCACAGUGCCUAGAAUCGUGUGUGCAUAAUAUUCUUUGAAUAAAUGAAUAGCAAAUACAGAAGGGAGAUAGCAAGAAAUGAUCCAUUUCUGUAUUAAUUCGAAAUGGGAAUAUCUCAGAAAUAAAAGUGUGAUGCCCCCAUCUCAUAAUUUGAAUAUAAAAAUGAAAGGUAUAACUUCUUUUCUGUAGUCACAGGUGUUUCUACAGAAAGACAUGAGGGUUAGACAUAGGGGUUAGAUCUAUUUGUGACAUAAGGGUUAGAUCUUUUGAAGCACAAACAUCAUGGUAAUAGAAUGGGGCGUAACACUGAAUUUUUAAGAUAAAACUUCAAAGAAAUUUUAAGCUGUGUCAACCCAUGUUGAGUUUGAUUUCAGAUGAUUUCGUAUCCUGGGGCUACCCAUCCAGUUUCUACUUUUUGUGUGGUUUUUAUUACUAUCAAGAUUAUACAUGCAUGUGGUUUGAUCUCGUUUAGAAAAAAAAAGUGCAGCUCACUGCCAGCACUCAUUUAAUCUUACAUAAACACACUCUUUGAGGUUGAAGCAAAUCUGACUGAUUUUCAAUGUGAAAGUAAAAUAUAAAAAUUGUUCUUGGAGUUAUUUCUAAACAGAACUAACAUCAGAAUCGUUUGAAUCAUCAGAAUCAUCUAUUUUGGAAAAAUCAGAUUCAUCAAAUGAAUGAAUCUUUGGCCAACGAUUGUUUGAGAAUGGUCUUAACAUCAUGCAUAGGAAUGCUACGUUUUCCAGGAUUUGACAUUUUCAGUGAUCAAGAAUUACUAUAUUUUGUAAAUGGAAAUACCCACUAAAUACAGAAUGCUAUAAAUAGGGUGAUGUCUUUUGUUUCCAAAACUUUUGUUUCCAAAGUCGAUAUGCUAGAGUGAUGUGAAAUAAUAAUAAAAGCGAG